AUGGCGGAAGUGCCGGGCGGCGGGCGGGCGGGCCGAGGCGGAGGCUGCCGUGCGCCAUGGCUGGCCGCGGCUCCGCGUCCUCCGAGCACCUGGAGCGGCUGCACGAGAUCUUCCGUGGCUUGCACGGAGACCUGCGGGGCAUCCCGGAGCGGCUGCGGGGCAGCGCGGCCGAGGAGAAGAAAAAACUCAUCCGAGAAUUUGAUGAGAAGCAGCGUGAAGCAAAUGAGACGCUGCAAGAAAUGGAGGAGGAACUGAAGUAUGCUCCUCUGCAUUUCCGCAACCAAAUGAUGAGCAAAAUCCGGGCCUACAGGAGAGAUCUCACCAUGUUCCAGAGGGAGAUGAGGAGCACAGACCUGGGACUGGGCCCUGGCAGUCAGGGCGACAUCAAAUACGGAAUCUUCUCCACAGAAAAUGAGCAGAGUACCACUGUGCAGUCGCAGAGGGUGCUACUUCUGCAGGGAACCGACAGCCUGAACAGAGCCAGCCAGAGCAUCGAGCGCUCGCACCGCAUCGCCGCCGAGACGGACCAGAUUGGCACCGAGAUCAUCGAGGAGCUGGGGGAGCAGCGGGAGCAGCUGGAACGCACCAAGAGCAGAUUGGUGAAUACAAGUGAGAACUUGAGCAAGAGUCGCAAGAUUCUACGUUCAAUGUCCAGGAGGGUAACCACCAAUAAGUUGUUGCUGUCAAUCAUCAUCAUCCUGGAACUAGCCAUCCUGGGAGGGGUGGUCUACUACAAGUUCUUUCGCAGCAGAUGAACCUUCAUGCCUGAGAUGAACUUUCCCACUGUCGAGGAAGGAGAUGGGCUGUCUCUUCCUCCCUCUGGCUGAGGAUGGAACUGUCUCAUGAGACACCUCAUUCAACUGAAACUGUACAGACACUAGACAGACAGAGAAGGGGAGUAAAAGGAAAAUGCAGAGACAGACUUGAACUACUGAUUCAUCUGGAGAGCUGGGUGUGGAAGUUCCUCAAAAGCAGUGUGUGCUCCUUCCCUUGUCUGCCCAAAGCACGUCGCAAUCACGUCCACUGCAAGACUCGCGGUUGCACUGACUUCCUCUUGAGAAGCUCCAAGCAGUGGGUUGACUUCAACCAUGUCUACAGCUGAAAGCAUUCCUGUGAAAAUGAUGUACAGCUCUGUUACUGUGUAAAAGGGUAUAAAAUCAGCUUUUCACUCAUUGCAGCAAGUCUCGAGCUUGUGACCUACUCUGCCCCUUAAACAAGUAAAAUCAGCUCUCAAAGGAGGGAUGAGGUUCUCAUUCUUAGAUGCACGUUUGUGGUGUUAAUUUGGUUUGUUCUUAUGUCACCACUACCUCAUUCACGCUUUUAGCAUUCAAGAAAAACAAGUUUGAUGUUCCAUAUAGGUUUGAGAGGAAUGGGUUUUUUUAAUCUUGUUUUCUCCCAGUCCAAAAAUAUGGGGAUAGAAAAUGGUCUCACCUGGUAUUUUUUGCAUCCUAUUCAUGAUUUUACUGAAUCUUGUCUGAUUGUGUUCUUUUCCUUCUUUUACUGCAAAUAACUCACUGUUUAGACGCUUUAAAUAAAAACACUGUGGUGUAAGGAGGAAAGGCCUCACACACUGAGUCACCUGUAAGGUCCUGGGUGAAAGCUUGAUGUGUUAGCCCUGAAUCCUCAGCUGGAACUUCAGACUGUUUACAAUGGUUUGCAGCUCUUUUCUUAAUUUCAGAUGCCCAUUUUUAUAUCCUGCCUCGUGUUUAGGAAUGGGGAACAGUAUUAUACAAGGUGACGAACUCAUUGUUGGCAUCAGUUGUUAGGUAUUUUAUUGAUUUUGGUAAGUGGAACUUUUUGAUGGUUAAGUUGCUUCCACUACCUGGGCUACUGCCAGACUAUAAUAGCAUCCUCUUCCCUUGCAGAAGGUUGAAUUUACUUUGGAGGCACCUUUAGCUUUGACUACAUUUAUGUUAUGAUCUAGUUACACAGGAAAAAUGUAAUGAGUAUGAGCUGGGCAGCCGGCCCUGUCCUUGCUUGGUGGGGCUCAGGUCCUACCUGUGUUGUGUAUCUCCUCUGUGAUGUACAUGCCUUCCCUGUACGUCAGGCCGCCCAGAACAGGAGUCCCAGUUGCUGGAGCCAGUGAGGGAUCAAAAGCAUCAAUGUCAAAACUCAAGUGAAUUGGUCUCUGUCUCCUGAGGCAGAAUAAACCAAGAAAAGACAUUUCAGAACCUUUUACUUUUUCUACAUGUAUUUCUUACUGUCCAGGCUGAUCAGCUUCUAGGAUGGAGGAAGCACCAAGCUUGAGUUCCUAGACAGCUCAUCAAGGGAAAGAUAAUAUCACAUGUUAGUUACUUACUACAUGGAGUCUGACAGUCAAUGACAGUUUAAUAAAUUGGACACUGCUUGUCACUGAGCUGAGCUAGUUAAGUACUAAACUGUACUUUCAAGAGAUGCUCAGUGGAGAGAAGCAUCUGGAUUAGCUGCAGCUGGGAAGGGUGAGCACCCCUUCAGGCACAUCAGUGUGCAGUACAGGCACAUGGUGCUUGUGACCUUCUUCAGAGACCUCUGCUCCGUGGUGAGAGAUCACCCUUUUUGACCCUGAGCCCCUCUACCUGGCCCUCGUCUGGUACCUGAACAAGUUUAGCAAAGACUUGAGUAUGGCACUGCAGCAGAGCAGUGGUCGCAGUGCCCUUGCCUCGCUGCCUUGGACUCUUGAGUUGAUUCAAACACCUUUAAAAACUGCAGCAAAAGACACAAGUCCUUACUUCAACAAGUGAUACAAAACAGAGCCCCAGCUGUAGCGACUAACAACCUCUGUCACAGCUUUUUUGUCAAACACUGUGAAAUGGUUCCAGUUCAAGGUGUGGAAGUUGAAGACUAAAGGACUGAGACUUUGCUAUUUACUGGACACACGAAGUUCUGUUAGGCUGCCUCGGGAAAGGAGAUAUUCAACAAGUGGAUGACAGGAGUAGUUUAAAUCAGAUAAUAGUUUGUUACCUGCCCAUCAGUUGUUCAAAUGUUCUUUCCAUAACUUUCUGGAUUCCAAGGCGAUCAAUGUCCCUCAUGGAAAAAUACUGGAUGUCAUAGUUCUUCAAAAUAUAGCUGUGAAAAUAAAGUAAAUCGUUACUGGAUUAAGCUUGGAUCCAGCAGUCCUCGUGAACAGGCAGCUGGGGAAAGCAGCUCAGGAUUUCAGCUCUUACUAAAAUCCUUCAAUCUGAAUCAACUUACUAUUCAGCAGGAUCCACAUCUCUCAAGCCAAUGUACACGAUAUCAGAUGCUGACAGGCAGGGCUUUAGCCAGGAAAAGCCAGGGAGUUGAGGUACCUGCAGGCAGAGGUUCAGUACUAAGUUUAAUGAUGGAUGUAACAAAACUGUAUUUAAUGCUUCCCUCAAAACUCUGUGUUUAUUUAUAACAUCCUUUGUCUAAACAGAGAAACUUCAUCUAC